CAGUAGCCGCGGUAAUACGAAGGGUGCAAGCGUUACUCGGAAUUACUGGGCGUAAAGCGUGCGUAGGUGGUGGUUUAAGUCCGUUGUGAAAGCCCUGGGCUCAACCUGGGAAUUGCAGUGGAUACUGGGUCACUAGAGUGUGGUAGAGGAUAGUGGAAUUUCCGGUGUAGCAGUGAAAUGCGUAGAGAUCGGAAGGAACAUCUGUGGCGAAGGCGACUAUCUGGGCCAACACUGACACUGAGGCACGAAAGCGUGGGGAGCAAACAGGAUUAGAUACCCUCGUAGUCCCUGUAUCUUAUAC
rnacentral:rRNA from 1 species